ensembl:snRNA U1 U1 spliceosomal RNA
ACACCUAUCCAGUAGGAAAGGCACCCUGAGCCCAAAGAUGGUUUUCCUCAGGGAAAUGGUUUUCCUUGUGUAAGGCUUACACCUUCCACUGUGGGUGUGCUGACUCCUGCCAUUUCUCCAAACACAGAAAACUGCACCAUUUGCAGUAGCGGGGGACUGUGUUCACAUUCUCCCC